UACGUAGGGAGCAAGCGUUGUCCGGAAUCAUUGGGCGUAAAGCGCGCGUAGGUGGCCACAUAAGUCCGUUGUGAAAGUCAAAGGCUCAACCUUUGAAAGCCGAUGGAUACUGUGUGGCUAGAGUACGGAAGAGGCGAGUGGAAUUCCUGGUGUAGCGGUGGAAUGCGCAGAUAUCAGGAGGAACACCAAUAGCGAAGGCAGCUCGCUGGGACGUUACUGACACUGAGGCG
rnacentral:rRNA from 1 species